rnacentral:rRNA from 1 species
GACGAACGCUGGCGGCGUGCCUAACACAUGCAAGUCGAACGGAUAGGGCGUGCUUUUUUGUGGUUCUCGAGUGGCGAACGGGUGAGUAACACGUGAGUAACCUGCCUUUUACGUGGUGAUGACUUCAGGAAACUGGGGCUAAUACCUGAUAGCAGCUGCUGCUGCAUGGUGGUGUUUGGAAAGUUUCGGCGGUAGGGGAUCGAGUGGGGGCUUACUAGCUGGUUGGUGGGGUAGUGGCUUAGGAAGGCAUUGACGGCUAGGCGGCCUGGGAGGGUGACCGGGCACAUUGGGACUGCGGUACGGACCAGAGUCCAACGUGAGACAGCAGUGGGAAAUAUUGCACAAUGGGCCGACGCGUGAUACAGCGGCGCCGCGUGCGGAAUGACGGCUUUGGGGUUAUAAACCGCUGUAGGCUGUUACGAAGCGUGAGUGACGGUACCGGGUGAAGAAGCACCGGCUAACUACGUG